rnacentral:rRNA from 1 species
GACGAACGCUGGUGGCGUGCCUAAUACAUGCAAGUCGAGCGGACCAAAGGGAGCUUGCUCCUGGAGGUUAGCGGCGAACGGGUGAGUAACACGUGGGCAACCUGCCUGUAAGACUGGGAUAACAUCGAGAAAUCGGUGCUAAUACCGGAUAAUAAAAAGAACUGCAUGGUUCUUUUUUGAAAGAUGGUUUCGGCUAUCACUUACAGAUGGGCCCGCGGCGCAUUAGCUAGUUGGUGAGGUAACGGCUCACCAAGGCGACGAUGCGUAGCCGACCUGAGAGGGUGAUCGGCCACACUGGGACUGAGACACGGCCCAGACUCCUACGGGAGGCAGCAGUAGGGGAAUCUUCCGCAAUGGACGAAAGUCUGACGGAGCAACGCCGCGUGAGUGAUGAAGGUUUUCGGAUCGUAAAACUCUGUUGUUAGGGAAGAACAAGUGCCGUUCGAAAGGGCGGCACCUUGACGGUACCUAACGAGAAAGCCACGGCUAACUACGUGCCAGCAGCCGCGGUAAA